GCUUCUUCGCUUCUCUCUUGGAAAGUCCAGUCUCUCCUCGGCUUGCAAUGGACCCCAACUGCUCCUGCGCCGCUGGUGUCUCCUGCACCUGCGCUGGUUCCUGCAAGUGCAAAGAGUGCAAAUGCACCUCCUGCAAGAAGAGUGAGUGUGAGGCCAUCUCCAUGGUCUGGGGCUGUGGCUAAGGCUGCUGCUCCUGCUGCCCCGUGGGCUGUAGCAAGUGUGCCCAGGGCUGUGUUUGCAAAGGGGCGUCAGAGAAGUGCAGCUGCUGCGACUGAUGCCAGGACAACCUUUCUCCCAGAUGUAAACAGAGAGACAUGUACAAACCUGGAUUUUUUUUUUAUACCACCUUGACCCAUUUGCUACAUUCCUUUUCCUGUGAAAUAUGUGAGUGAUAAUUAAACACUUUAGACCUGAUU
rnacentral:lncRNA from 1 species